AUUGAACGCUGGCGGCAUGCUUUACACAUGCAAGUCGAACGGUAACAGGCCGCAAGGUGCUGACGAGUGGCGAACGGGUGAGUAAUGCAUCGGAACGUGCCCAGUCGUGGGGGAUAACGCAGCGAAAGCUGCGCUAAUACCGCAUACGAUCUAUGGAUGAAAGCGGGGGACCGUAAGGCCUCGCGCGAUUGGAGCGGCCGAUGUCAGAUUAGGUAGUUGGUGGGGUAAAGGCUCACCAAGCCAACGAUCUGUAGCUGGUCUGAGAGGACGACCAGCCACACUGGGACUGAGACACGGCCCAGACUCCUACGGGAGGCAGCAGUGGGGAAUUUUGGACAAUGGGCGCAAGCCUGAUCCAGCAAUGCCGCGUGCAGGAAGAAGGCCUUCGGGUUGUAAACUGCUUUUGUACGGAACGAAACGGUCUGGGUUAAUACCCUGGGCUAAUGACGGUACCGUAAGAAUAAGCACCGGCUAACUACGUGCCAGCCGCCGCUGUAAAAC
rnacentral:rRNA from 1 species